rnacentral:rRNA from 1 species
GACGGAGGGUGCAAGCGUUGCUCGGAAUCACUGGGCGUAAAGCGCACGUAGGCGGCUUUCUAAGUCAGGGGUGAAAUCCUGGAGCUCAACUCCAGAACUGCCUUUGAUACUGGAGAGCUUGAGUCCGGAAGAGGUGAGUGGAACUCCGAGUGUAGAGGUGAAAUUCGUAGAUAUUCGGAAGAACACCAGUGGCGAAGGCGGCUCACUGGUCCGGUACUGACGCUGAUGUGCGAAAGCGUGGGGAGCAAACAGG